UACGGGGGGAGCAAGCGUUGUUCGGAUUUACUGGGCGUAAAGGGCGCGUAGGCGGCCUCUGCAAGUCGACUGUGAAAUCUCCGGGCUUAACCCGGAAAGGUCAGCCGAUACUGCAGGGCUAGAGUGCAGAAGGGGCAACUGGAAUUCUCGGUGUAGCGGUGAAAUGCGUAGAUAUCAGGAGGAACACCCGUGGUGUAGACGGCUUGCUGGACAGUCACUGACGCUGAGGCACGAAAGCGUGGGGAGCAAACAGG
rnacentral:rRNA from 1 species